rnacentral:lncRNA from 1 species
CCUGAGAAGGGGUGCAGGGGGGUCUCAGCCUCCUGUGCUGGAGGGCAGCCAGGGACACUGCGGAGGCAGAGCCAGGGCCUGCACCCCAUUUACAGAUGGGGAAGCUGAGGCCCCAGAACUUCAAUGAGUUCACAAGCAUGAGUGCCUCCAGUUCUCUCUGUCACUGUCUGCCUGGACCUCUCCAGGGUGCCCCCAAGUGGCACGUCUGGCGCCUUCUGUCCCUCAGAAAGGGACAGUUAGGCCUGUGGGCACUAGCUCCCCAGGCAAGGGUCCCCUUGGAGGGAGAUGGCCUGCUGCACCCUCCAUGGCCAGGAGCUCCUCCUCCCUCCCCAGCCCCUCUUGUGCCCUUGGUCUCUUGGCUGACCCCUGGGUUCCAGGGCGGCGAGGGGCGAGGGAGGAGGAGGAUUUGGGGUUCCUGGGACUCCAUCUCUGAAUCAACAGCACCCAGCACAGAGUUGUUUGCUCACUAAGUGAAAAAGUCACGUAAGCAGCACCAUUUCUCUGCCAAGGUCCGUCGGUGGCCAAAGCCUGUUCUCCUUCUGCAGAGACCCCCCGCCCCCGGAACUGGGAUGCAUGGGGGACACUCCGCUGCUCCAACUCUCAUCCAAAGAAAGCCUCAGGACCAGAUGCGUUUGCAAUUCAGAAUUUUUCAUCCAUUACGGGACACCUUGUUGGAGCUUGGGGCUGCACCUCCUGGUCAAACACAUUGCUGUGUUUGCAGUAAAGCAGGACGGGUCCCACGGCCUGGAAUAAAGAGCGUGAUGUGUGGCUGCCCGGCAGGUCAGGGCUGGCUUUGCCACGAGUUUUGAAAACUUUUAAGUUUCAGGGCUUUGGGCAAAUUUGGAAUUGUGGAUAAAGGAAUGGAGCAGGAGAGGAGACACAUGAAGUGCCUGGCAGGACUCCUGAGCCUUCAUCAGCCCCAAGGGUCUCAAGGGGAACCCCGUCUCAUGGGGCCUAGAGCUUUGCAAAAUGGUUCCAUUGGUCAGUGAAAAAUGACGUUUGGACAUUUAGCAUGGACUGACCCUUGCUUGUGCUCUUGGGGACAAAGGAGGAGAGACAGAAAUCUGAUCUUGAGGAGGCAGGCAUGCUCCUGAGGCAGGCAGCACUGGGGCUCAGGAAAAAACCUCCUUUAGUGAAGAAAUUCUCCAGAGGCUGCGUGUAGCCUGUGCUGUCUCCCUCCCCUCCAGCACAGACUCGUGGGCGUCCGUGUGGUCACCUGGGGCCGGAAAAGGAAGCAACUUGUGGGGAGAUGGGCUCUGUGUAAACCACAGUGACAGGCAUGACGGAGGUGGCAGGUGACACGGGUGCCAGUUUCAGAGAUGGAGCAGUUUGCUCCAGGUGACACACAGAUGUCAGAAAAAUGUAAGAGCGUGAUGACACACACCCGUCCUCGUCACCGAUGGACACAGGCCAAUUAAAAGAGCUUGGAGUCCACAGCAGCUGCCCUGCCAGGAGGGCACGCUCGCCCCGUUAAAGCGACUGUGUGCUCCAGGGACAGAGAGGCUUCCAAGUGGGGCAGAGCCUUGGUCCACACUGCAUCCGCCACUCACUGGGCAGCUGGAGCAGGCCACAAAGGGCGCCUGUGCUCUGCGGCG